UAGUACACUUAAAUUUAAUUAAUAAGUACUAGAAUAUUAGAAGUUAUGUUCUUUAAAUUUAAAAAAUUUGGCGGUGUUUUAGUCUAGUUAGAGGAACCUGUUUUAUAAACGAUACAACACGCAAUAUCUUACUUGUUUUAGUGAUUCAGCUUGUAUACCGUCAUUAUAAGAUAAUUUAGGAGAAAAUAUUGUUAUAAUCAUAUUAUUGAAUAUAUUAGAUCAAGGUGCAGCUUAUAGGUAAGUAAACAUGGGUUACAAUAAAAUUUAUUUAGUAUGAAUUAGGUAUUGAAAUAUAUUUAUGAAGGAGGAUUUAAUUGUAAGGAGAGAAAUAGUAAGAUUUUCUGAUAAAAGCUCUAAAUUAUGUACAUAU
rnacentral:rRNA from 1 species